rnacentral:snoRNA from 1 species
CGUGAUGUUUAUUUCUUACCGCCCCAGUCUGAAAAGACGUGUUGAUUGGUUUCUAAUUCUGAUA